AUUCACAAGUGAAAUGGUCUCAUCCUACCUGCAAUUGAGGCUGAAAAAUGCAGCAUUUCCGUAUGGUCUGAAGAAGGAAAUAAUGUUAUCAUCUCACCAAUCUCUGUCAAGACAAGCUGUAAAGUCUUGAGCAAAAUCACGAGUAUCUGUCCCUAACUUACUCAUCUUAAGAAGGACCCAAAAACAUCAGACAGGUAUGCUUACUGCUCAUUUAUUAAAGAUUUGUGUUGCCUUUACUUGGAGUUCUUCAUCUGUGACACAAACUGUGUGUAGCAUCAAGUUGAACUUCUUGGCAUCAUCUCCGGUAAACUUGAGGGAAAAUAGGAACCAGAGCAAACGUGAAGCUCGUGCAACUCUGUGCUGUGCUGCAAAUAAUGGAAGUCUUUCUGUCUCUGACCAAAGAGUUACGAGUCUUCUGCCAACAUCCAUAAAACUGAAGCAGGCUAACGUGUAAGCUUAGAUCCUUCACAGUUCUUGACAAUAGUCCCUUAAAACUGUCUGCAGAUGCACAUUCCUUGGAAAAAUUUUAUGCAUCCUUUUAAGAAUAAUUAAUGUUCUAGUUAAUGACAACUGUAUGACAGGAUAGAUCACUUCAAGCUUCUUCCCAGAUUACUAUAACUUUUAGGGAAAUAAUGUAUAUGCCAUUUUUUCUAAGGUUAUCUAGCCAUUUUCAGUAUGGAAAACAAUAUUAUGUAAGAUAAACUGAGCACAUUUUUCACUUCGUUUUUGUUUUUCAAAACAAUUUUAUUGCUUUUGUUAAUGCCUCAGUCAUCAAUACUGCUUGGCAUAAGAGCCAAGUUUGAAGAAUUAUCAUGUUGCAAAUGUAUUUUGCUCAUUUAUUUCAAAUUAGUAGACAGAAUUGAGAGGUGGAAAAUUAUAGAAAAAUCUCAGUUGAUCAUACUUGGAAUUUGGUUAUGUAAUAUGGGGAAUACAAAGGUUGAUAUACUAGUGAUAAUAUUCACUCUUGGAACCAUUAGAUGCUAUCAUGACAUUAGCACAGAAGACAAAUUCAUAAUGUUGCAGUGAGGUAAGGAAAUAAAACAUGUAAGUCUUUGAAAACCACACUAUGUGAGCCCUUGCAGGCUGAAAAUCAGACGCUAAAGUAUUUUUUUGUUCCUUUUGGAGAAUAAGAGAAGCGUGCUCCUCAAUGUCUUGUUGAGAAAAAUAUAUAGUUUGAUACACUUGUCAAUAUUGCUAACUCAAAAAUGAUGAGUAUAAGGAGUGACCCUUAUUGUAGUCUUAUAUUUCCCUCCAGCAAUUAACAGAGUUGGUGGGGCUAUUUUUAUCCAUGAGUUCACCCCGGGUCCCAGGUGAUUUUCAUCUUGUUUCUCUUCAUAAUCCUAUCUUAGUGUUUCCUUCUCAUGGCUAAGUUCAGCAAUACUUCUGCAUUCCAGCCAGGGGAAAUGCGUAAGAAGAGAUGAAAAACAAUCAGCUUUGUCUUUAUGGAGAUUAACUUAAAUUUAUGCUCAUAAUAAAAUUCAUGUUAUACUUCAUCAAAAUUAAUCACUGGUAAGACUAUAGAAGGUAAUCUCUUGCUUGUGGUCAUAUGUGCUUAGGAUUCUACUACUAAACAAAAUGAAAGACUGCAUUAUAAAGACAAUUAGUGGUCUCUAGUACAAAUAAAUUACCAGGUAAUUUCCAAUUCUCAAUAUUGAAAAAAAAAAAAAAGUUUAUUUCCUACUGCACUAUCAAAUUGGAAAGGUCAAUACAGGUAUUCAAUAAUAGUAAAAAUAUGAAUAACAAUCAUAUGUAUCACAAUAGAAUCAUUUUAAAAGAUGUAUAUUUAAAACAUGAUUUUGCAUUAUAUUUCCCCUGGCAGAAAAUAAUAAAUUGGAGAAAAAUCACAUUUGAUUGUUGUCAGUUACAUGGAUGUUUAAAAUUUGUACCACUGAACACUUUUUAAAGAUAAACUAAUUGAUGCCUAUGGAAGAUAAAUCAAUCUUUAGUUAUUUUGGUAAAU